rnacentral:lncRNA from 1 species
GGGAGCUUCUUACAGCUUUUAACCACGUCCACAGCAGAGUUAGAGCCCCUUUGCUUCAGAUAAUUUCCAAAGACCAUCUGAAGAAUGUUUGGACUCGCUUGUGAAGGAUCAGGGAUAGAGACAUUUUCUGAAGCCCCUGGCUGGCUUGUUUGCAACACCAUCCCAAUAAAAAUUAAGCCCUCAGACACAAACUUAGGAAAGGAAAGAAGAAAACAGAAUUCUGAUAUAUUUCACAACCGUACUCUGAUCCCAGGAGAAAGAUUGGGUAAGAAACACUGAUCUUUCUUACAUAUCUGUCUGCAAAGUUUUCAGUAGUCCUCUUUUACUAGCAAUCUCUCCUGGAUUAGGUGAGCAAGUUGCCUAAUUGUUUCAGUGGAUUGCUUUAAUUGGUUCUCAUCCAAGCAGCAGAGGGGAUGUAGGAGCACAGCAUUUAACCGAGAGGAAAACAGCAUGUGGGAUGGGAGAAGGAAGGUACACCAUGAAGUUACCCUUGAAGACACCAUGAAGUGUGCAAAAUUUGCAGAUCUUCAUUUGCCAAGGAAAUGUGCUGAACCCAUAUAUGUGUGUGGAAUGGGACAAGGCACCUCCAGCAUGGGGGCCAGCUUCUUCCAAGCUGUCCUAUUACAUUUGCUGGAGCCCAGGAACCAGGGAGAGCCCACUUCACUGCCUGACUUCUCAAGAAUUGCAGAAUAGGCCUGUGCAACAUGAACCUGUCUGUUUCUACUGGGACCUGUCCAAGGGAUGGCUUCUUACCAUAUCUGGCCUGUCUGGAUCACAGUUACACCUACUGGUGUAUUUUCUGUGCCAUCAUUUUUCUGCUGUUUUCUAUGGUUUACUAUACAUUUCUCUGCUUUCUUUUUCUUUUUUCUUCCUAUACUCCUGCUAUUCUUGCAACAUGUGCAAAAAAGUGAACAAAAAUUAUUGCAGGACUUGAUGUGGCUACAUGGCCAUUUUUCCGCAA